AGUAACGCGUAUGCAAUCUACCUUUUGCAGAGGGAUAGCCCAGAGAAAUUUGGAUUAAUACCUCAUAGUAUAGCACAACCGCAUGGUUGAGUUAUUAAAGUCACAACGGCAAAAGAUGAGCAUGCGUCCCAUUAGCUAGUUGGUAAGGUAACGGCUUACCAAGGCAACGAUGGGUAGGGGUCCUGAGAGGGAGAUCCCCCACACUGGUACUGAGACACGGACCAGACUCCUACGGGAGGCAGCAGUGAGGAAUAUUGGUCAAUGGGCGCAAGCCUGAACCAGCCAUGCCGCGUGCAGGAUGACGGUCCUAUGGAUUGUAAACUGCUUUUGUACGAGAAGAAACACUACUUCGUGAAGUAGCUUGACGGUAUCGUAAGAAUAAGGAUCGGCUAACUCCGUGCCAGCAGCCGCGGUAAUACGGAGGAUCCAAGCGUUAUCCGGAAUCAUUGGGUUUAAAGGGUCCGUAGGCGGUCUUAUAAGUCAGUGGUGAAAUCUCCCCGCUCAACGGGGAAACUGCCAUUGAUACUGUAGGACUUGAAUUAUUAGGAAGUAACUAGAAUAUGUAGUGUAGCGGUGAAAUGCUUAGAGAUUACAUGGAAUACCAAUUGCGAAGGCAGGUUACUACUAAUUGAUUGACGCUGAUGGACGAAAGCGUGGGUAGCGAACAGGAUUAGAUACCCUGGUAGUCCACGCCGUAAACGAUGGAUACUAGCUGUUGGGGGGCAACUUCAGUGGCUAAGCGAAAGUGAUAAGUAUCCCACCUGGGGGAGUACGUUCGCAAGAAUGAAACUCAAAGGAAUUGACGGGGGCCCGCACAAGCGGUGGAGCAUGUGGUUUAAUUCGAUG
rnacentral:rRNA from 1 species